UACAGAGGUCCCAAGCGUUGUUCGGAUUCAUUGGGCGUAAAGGGUGCGUAGGCGGCGCGGUAAGUCGGAUGUGAAAUCUCGGAGCUUAACUCCGAAACUGCAUUCGAUACUGCCGUGCUUGAGGACUGGAGAGGAGACUGGAAUUUACGGUGUAGCGGUGAAAUGCGUAGAUAUCGUAAGGAAGACCAGUGGCGAAGGCGGGUCUCUGGACAGUUCCUGACGCUGAGGCGCGAAAGCGUGGGGAGCGAACAGG
rnacentral:rRNA from 1 species